rnacentral:lncRNA from 10 species
AGUCAGGAGGACUUAUUUCUUUAGAGCUAUUUGCAACUUCUAACAAGACACAUUUGGAGAAACUGGUUAUUUUACCAAGGCUUUAAGUGAAAUGGCACGCUUCCUUUAAAGAAUCAAAGUUGACUUAUAAAGCCAAUUAAAGCCCGUUGGGGAAUCUGUUCUCAUACCUUGUUCACAAAGUCCCUGUACAAGGUUCCUGACCUGUGGAAAGAAAAGCUCAUAUAGUAAAGAAACAUGGAUCUGACGUUCCACAAUUCUUUCAGUUUCAUGUCCACUUCUUCCGUUAAAUUAUUUUAAAUACUUUUUGUAACAUAUUCAAUCUUAUUUUAUCAACACUGUUUUUGUUGCCUACCUAGCCCUUUAGUUUCAUUUUUAUGCAAUAUCUAGAUAAUAUUCAGCAAAUCUUAACAACGAUUAACUCUGGGUGGUAGGAUUUUGGGUAAUUAGUGGCUUUUAUUUGAACUUCUCUUUGUACAAAUGAAAAUGUUCAUAAUGUGCCUUCCUCAUUUUUAGAAAAAAAUAAAGCCAUUAUUCCCCUCCCAAAGUUCGAAAUAUUUCCUUAAAAAGUUUUUCUUGAAAAUGUUAAUACAUUUUGAAAAAGAACUUUAUUUUUCAAUGGAGUGAUUGAUUACCUACAUUUGGUAUAUUAUCUGCAUAAUACGAGUUUUCUUUCACUAAGGGGGAAAAAAAAUCCCCUUCUCCCCAGCUAAGGCAGUUUUCCCAUUGGAUCCCAUUAGAAUCUUUAGAGCCAGGGAGUCUGCAAUUGUUAAUAUUUACAUUGUAAUAUUUGUAUAAUACUUUAAUAAUAAUGGGUCUAAAUAAAAUGCUGAUUUUCAUAAAAGGUGAUAUUAGUCUGCCUUUAUGUAUAUGUGUAAAAUGUCUUUCCCAAAUACUAUUCCCAAAGGCAUGCUUUUUUUCAAUUACUGUGGCUAAAACAGAUUAUUUCCUCGGUGUAUUCUGGAAUGCUUAGCUCUUUAAUGUUUCAGACUAGCUCCUUUCAGAACAGACUAUCCUGAAGUGUUUCCACGAACACUGUAGACCAGCAUAAAAGUUUCAAAAUAUUUUAUAAAAAAAGAUUGCCUUUAGGUUAUGCUCUCUGGAAAGUGUUUCAUCUUCCAUCAAUAACUUACAUUCUGGCAAUCUGUAACUACAAAAUGCUGCCACGCAGAGUAAAGUGGGAGGUGACCUCUAGCCCCAGGCACACAUGUAUCAAUCAACCAUACUACUAAGCAUCCUGCCAGGUGAAUUUGUUGAGUACAGUGAGAUCUGGGGAGAAAAAAUGAUCUUUAGAGAACAAACAGAAUCAUGUGGAUGCAUGGUUCUAAUCAAACUUUGUUCCCCUAGUACAACACCAUUCGGAUUUGGGUAGUACAGUCGAAGUGUUAAAAGAAUAGGCUUCAUGAUCAUAAUGUUCUGUGUUCAGAACCCAGUUACGUCCUGGGGCAAACUGCUGCCCCUCUCAUUCUUAAAUCCCUUAGUUACCUCCUUUAUAACAUGAGAGUAAUAAAAAAAGUCUCACGGAGGCUUAAUUAAAGCAGGUAUGUAACAAGAACUUAGGACAGCACCUGGCACGUAGCUAAUAUUUACGGAGAAUUUAGAAUGAUGAAUUGAUGAUGGUGGUGAUGACAGUGACAACCAUGGUAUAAAUUGGUCAAGAUCAUGGCCUUGCUGCUAAAUUUUGUUGUAUUUGUAAAGGUUAGAAUGUCUGUGAAAAUAUCUCAGAUGAGGUAGAUGAGAGUUCACUUUCUCUAACUUAGUGUUAGUAAGAUAGGCAGUGAGUGCUGAGAUGGGAGGAGUUAUGGAUUUGAAGCCAAGAGAAUCACCUUUUACUACACAAUCUGCUACCAAAAAACCUUGGGCAAGUCAGUUAACUUCUGAGCCUCAUAAUGUCCAAGAGUAAACUGAAAAGCUCAAAUGAGAAGACGUCUGGCAAAAUGAAGACUUGUAAAUGUGAAGGGGUUAUUAAGCCUACACAAUCACCAUUACAUAGAUAAUUUAAACCUUUAGAAAAAUCAUUGAGGAAAAAGCCAUCAACCUCAGCGGCAGAAGGUGGAGCAGUGGGAAGUGAGGGUCUCUGGAGACAGCCCAGGCUUGCAGCCAGCCUCUGGCAUUACUAUCUGUGUGCCCUUACCAAAGCCUCAGUCAUCCCCUCCAAAAUGAGGACAAUAAUAAAACUUACACCACACAGGUUUUGUGGGGACUAAAUGUAGUAAUUCAAACAAACCACUCAGUAAAGAGUCCUGUAAAUUGUAGGAUGGUACUGAUCUGUAAGAUUGUUAUCUAUACAGGUGUUUUGCUAGGUUGUCAUUUAAUUCUCAUUUUGUUUUCACUGAGUAGAAUGUGCUUUGAUUUAUUAACCAAUAUUUGGUGGUAGUAUAACUUUUUAAAAUUAGAAGCAGAAUUGGUGUGAUGUAGUAUAUAUAAGGAGGACUUUAGCCUCCCUUUCUUUAAACAUUCUUGUCUGUAGCUGAAAUUAUAUAUGUUGAUAAGGUUCCUUCUGCAUGUGCACUACAGUGUUUAUGGCACACUAUAAUUAGUUUCAGUGGAGUCUUCAUGAAAUAUUCAAUCUGCUGCAAUUUCUCCAUGUAGUAUUUAAUAACAUGAAGAAAACCUAAAGCUCACAUUAUUUCCUUUCCAAGCAAAACUUGUCCCUCCUAAUCCUUCUGGAGGACAUCAUCAACAGUGUUGCACUGACCUUUUUCCACUGCAUUCACAGCUGCUUCUAGAUCACACCCAUUUUUUUUUUUUAAAUUGGUAUCCUGGACCUCUGCUGGUCUAUGGGUUUGGCUCACUAAGAAUUAUUACACACCAUGCCGGGCAUGGUGACUCAAGCCUGUAAUCCCAACACUUUGGGAGGCUGAGGCAGGAGGAUUGCUUGAGGCCAGGAGUUUGAUACCAGCCUGGGCAACAUAGUGAGACAACGUCUCUACAAAAUAAUAAUAAUAUUCCAGUGACUUCAACCCUGGUUACAUAUUAAACUCACCUAGGGAGCUUUUCAAAAAAUACUGAUGCUCAGCUCAAUUGAAUCAGAAUCUCAAAAGGUGGGGCCCAGGCAUCCUUCGUGGUUUUUAAAGCUUCCCAGGUGAUUCUAAUGGGCAGACAGGGUUAAGCACAACUGUUUUUGAUAAUAAGGGAACUAAAGGGAAGAGGAUACACUAAAAAUGCUAAACAACAACAACAACAAAACCUCAAUGUAGAUUCUGUUAAGGUUAAAAGUUCUCACAGUGAGGAGAAAAAAAAGGAAUAAUUCACUCCUUACAAUUUCUCUUUUGUGCUCAUAAGUCCUCCCACCCAGUUACUUAUUAGUCAAUUUUCAAGAUAAUGGAUUUGUUCCAUCUAACAAAAGGAAAUCAAUGGUACUAAAGAUGACCAAAGGUCGCUGAGUAUAAAAGAUUCUCAAUGAUCUUCAAUUAAUCUUCACAAGUAGCUCUGCAUCAGAAAUGAAAAAUUAUUGUCUUCAAUGGCGAAACUAUGACAUUUUGUGUUAAUUUCUAAUGAUAAAAGUCCAUGUGUUUUUUUAAAACCUCGGAGACAUAAACUGAGGCAACCGAGUCAAACCGCAUAAGAUUGUGAUGAAAUAGAUUAAGAUAUUUAAUUCAUAAGAUUUUGUGAAUAUCUUAUACAAAUAGAAAAGAAAACCUGCCAUCUUUGGAUAUCUACUUUUGUUAAAAAUACUAGAAACUCAUAAUCAUGGUCUAAAAUCCAGUGUUUAUGUCCAACUAAAUUUGAUCUUAUACCAAGCCAUAGUUGUUUGUCAGGUGUGUAUAUCAAAUAAACUGGAUGGAUCUAAACACAGAACAAGAAUAAAAUGUUACAAAAUAUUUUCACAGCUGCCUUCUAUAUUGAACAUAUGUUCUUCCACGUAAUUGUCAUCAUUCUUCAAAACAUUGUGCCUCAACUGGCAUACAUUUCUUAUUUACUGGCUUUUAAAUUUAUCAGCUCCAUCGAUUUACUUUUGACAACGGUAUUUCCAACACUCACAUAAUUUGAAGUAGACGACUGUAUUUUAUGUCAUUGCCACCCAAUCCAACAAACAAGAGGCAAGGUAAGCAGGCUUUUAAUUCUGAGAUUUAUGUUUACUUUUUCUUAAAAUAUAUACCGAAGCAAAACCCUACAGAGGCAUUAAAGAUAAAAGGACAUCCUAUCCUUCCUGUGAUAUAGAAUUACAAGGGGAAGAUGCCAGGUUUUUACAAAAUCAGCUGCUGCUCCAGAGUAUUCUUGGUCUCCUGAGGGAUGCUGCAAAACCCUGCAGGUUAAAUUAAACGCGCCUUCUUCAGAACCAUCUUUGUUAAAUAUGAAAAGACACUACCUCCGACAAACACCCAAGUUACUACACACAAUUCAUUCUUGCAAAUUAUCUUUCUCCUCAUACUCUGUAACUGCAAGGUGAAUUUUAAUGUAACAAAGGAGAGAUGGAUGUGUGAAGUGUGAGGCUGAAUAAAAAUGGCUGAAAAGCAAUCCAAGCGAGGCUGGAGGGUAGCCACACCCAGUGCUAAUAUGGACUAUUCCAAAAUAAAUCUGUUAUACCAAGGGCCACGGGCACUGUUUCGUUCUUUCCCUCCAUUUAUUUCACAGAUACCUAUUAUUAAUAAAUAGUAGUCACAGGUUACUCCAAUGACAGAAAAAAACCCCAAAUAUUUCAAAGUGAACCAUCCUAAUAUGUGGCUACGCCAUCAUAUUUUCAGGAUUUCGAGAGCUAGUCUGCAUCUCCACUCUCCUUUGUGUGACCACAAAUAACAACCCUGAAAUGGGUGUGUCCCUCUUAAAAGGAUGCACUCCAGCCCUCUCAGUUAAUGGUUCUGCCAGGAGAUUUCAACCUUUGGGCAGAAAUAAAUGCACUGGGAUGCAUGGAACAAUAAGAAAGCACUUUAACUCCGGGGAUGAGAAAACAUUAAACAAGUACUGAAUGAUGCACAGAUCCCAAAAGAACUCCCGGAGGAGGCGAUUGAUGCAUUAUUUAAAAUACCAGCAUUACAACAAGAAAACAAAGGGGUGGGGGUGGGGUUAAAAAAAAAAAGAAAAAAACAACAACCAAGCACCAUCCAUUUUGAUUCUUGAAAUAAGAGGUUUACUACCCCCCAACACAAAGCUCUGGGGUAUAAAGCAUGCACAGGUCCCACAGGUGAAAUGAUGCACAAUGGACGAGUCCAGGUCCCGGGUUUCCCGUGCGCCUCAGGCAUGCACUACUGAAAUAAAGAGAAUA